AGGAUGAACGCUGGCGACGUGCUUAACACAUGCAAGUCGAACGAUGAAGCAGAGCUUGCUCUGUGGAUUAGUGGCGAACGGGUGAGUAACACGUGAGUAACCUGCCCUUGACUCUGGAAUAAGCGUUGGAAACGACGUCUAAUACCGGAUACGAGCUUCCGCCGCAUGGUGAGGAGCUGGAAAGAAUUUCGGUCAAGGAUGGACUCGCGGCCUAUCAGGUAGUUGGUGAGGUAAUGGCUCACCAAGCCUACGACGGGUAGCCGGCCUGAGAGGGUGACCGGCACACUGGAACUGAGACACGGUCCAGACUCCUACGGGAGGCAGCAGUGGGAAUAUUGCACAAUGGGCGCGAAGCCUGAUGCAGCAACGCCGCGUGGAGGACGACGGCCGUUCGGUAGUAAACCUUCGUUUUAGUAGGAAGGAAGGCUUCGGUCUAGGACGGUUACC
rnacentral:rRNA from 1 species